AUUAUAGUAUAAAUUUAAAAACUAUUAAUUUGUACUUAGAAAAAUAAAAAAAAUAAUUAUAUUUUCGUAAUUCCAAAAAAUAUCGUCCCGUUUAUCCCGUCCUGUUCCAUCCCGGUCCACUCCGGUUCGUUCCAGUUCCAUCCCGAUAUAUAGGGGAACGGGACGGAACUGAUUAUUCAUCCCGGUAAUUCCGGUACGGUUAAUCCCGAUACCGGUCAACAUACCGAUCCACAGGUUCUGUUCCGGUGCGUUCCGGUGCGGGGAACCAGUUAUGGUCCGUUGACUACGGUCCAAACAAAAACAACAACAUCACCCUACCCCUGCUACUCUUCUUCUUCACGAGAACCAGAACGCAAAUUCAGCAAAUCGAUCCAAUUUGAAACCCAAAAAUCCCAGGGAAUCCAGCGACCCGAGUCCAGUCGUUGGACCUCUCUCCUCACCUUAUCAUCCGUACACGAAUCUUCUAGGUAGGCAUCUCCUUGCAAGAUCGUCCUUGGCUCAAAUCGAAUGGUUCUCCUUCUCUAUCCAUUGGAGAUUUGUACCAAUUUGAACUGUCAUCUUAUCCUCCAAGGGAUUUGAAUUUCGAAAUAAAAUCUAUUCUGUUUCCCCCCUCUUUUUCACACCUUAUUUCAUCUAUAAAUAGUAUCUUCUUCUCCAUUAUGAGGUUAGAAAAAAAAAGUUAGAAAAGCAGGGAAAAUUUGGGUGAAAAAAAAAUUGUUGGCGGAGAAGGUUGGAAAAAACUUGGAGAAAAAGAUGGAAUCAGUUGGCUUUAGAUAGAAAAAAUAGAAGAAAACUGAAACUACAAAAUAGAAAUAGACAAAAGAAUUUAACACGAUAGUGUUUGCAUUGCCGGAGUUUUGGGGUCAAUUGUUUACAAUCCAAGUUUCCGUUGGAGUUUUUAGUUUGUGGUGUUGGAAGAAGCUCCGUUACUAGCUCGUUUUUCAGUUCGCUGCCUCGGAAAAGGGCAGCUGCUGCAUUGAUGAUGGGUGAUGACAUGCACAAAUUGAGCAGAAGUCGUUUUGAAAGAGGGGAUUUUGGACUGAAUGGUGGAGUUGGAAUAACAAAUCCAGGUUCAAGGCAAAUUUACUUGACAUUUCCAGCUGAUAGUACUUUCAAAGAAGAGGAUGUUUCCAAUUAUUUCUUGUAUUAUUGGUUUGAAAAAUUCAAUGUAUUAAAGUUGUUCCCCUCAUUUUGAA